GACGGGUGAGUAACACGUGGGGAAUCUACCUUUUAGUGGGGAAUAACGCUCCGAAAGGAGUGGUAAUACCGCAUGAGACCUUCGGCUGGGAUGCUGGAGGUGAAACCUGGGGACCGCAAGGCCUGGGGCUAGAAGAGGAUCCUGCGUCUGAUUAGCUAGUUGGCGGGGUAAUGGCCCACCAAGGCGACGAUCAGUAGCCGGCCUGAGAGGGUGAUCGGCCACACUGGAACUGAGACACGGUCCAGACUCCUACGGGAGGCAGCAGUGGGGAAUUUUGCGCAAUGGACGAGAGUCUGACGCAGCAACGCCGCGUGGGUGAUGAAGGUCUUCGGACUGUAAAACCCUGUCGU
rnacentral:rRNA from 1 species